CCUACGGGUGGCAGCAGUGAGGAAUAUUGGUCAAUGGACGAGAGUCUGAACCAGCCAAGUAGCGUGAAGGAUGACUGCCCUCUGGGUUGUAAACUUCUUUUAUAUGGGAAUAAAAUGUUCCACGUGUGGGAUUUUGUAUGUACCAUAUGAAUAAGGACCGGCUAACCCCGUGCCAGCAGCCGGGGUAAUACGGAGGAGCCGAGCGUUAUCCGGAUUUAUUGGGUUUAAAGGGUGCGUAGGUGGAUUGUUAAGUCAGUCGUGAAAGUUUGCGGCUCAACCGUAAAAUUGCAGUUGAAACUGGCGGUCUUGAGUGCAGUAGAGGUAGGCGGAAUUCGUGGUGUAGCGGUGAAAUGCUUAGAUAUCGCGAAGAACACCGGUUGCGAAGGCAGCUCACUGGGCUGCAACUGACACUGAGGCUCGAAAGUGUGGGUAUCAAACAGGAUUAGAUACCCGAGUAGUC
rnacentral:rRNA from 1 species